CUUAGGACGAACGCUGGCGGCGUGCUUAACACAUGCAAGUCGAACGGAGAUUAUUAAUGAAGCUUGCGAUUUAAUAAUCUUAGUGGCGGACGGGUGAGUAACGCGUGGGCAACCUACCCAUAAGCGGGGGAUAACAGUUGGAAACGACUGCUAAUACCGCAUAAGCUAUUAAGGUCACAUGACCUUAAUAGUAAAGGUGGCGAUUUUACAUUGCUAUCACUUAUGGAUGGGCCCGCGUCUGAUUAGCUAGUUGGUGGGAUAGCAGCCUACCAAGGCAACGAUCAGUAGCCGGCCUGAGAGGGUGGACGGCCACACUGGGACUGAGACACGGCCCAGACUCCUACGGGAGGCAGCAGUGGGGAAUAUUGCGCAAUGGGGGAAACCCUGACGCAGCGACGCCGCGUGAGCGAAAGAAGGCCUUAGGGUCGUAAAGCUCUGUUGUAAGGGACGAAUGUUUAUCUGGCGAACAGUCAGAUAAAGUGACGGUACCUUACCAGCAAGCCCCGGCUAACUACGUGCCAGCCGCUGC
rnacentral:rRNA from 1 species